rnacentral:sRNA from 1 species
UCUAUCGAUUUACAAUAUUCCCAAUAAUAUUUGCUUAAAGCCUAGGGCUUUCUCAAACAAAAUCUAAAAAAAAAUGUUCUUCACCCCUCCAUAGCCAAAUGUCCUUUGGUGAAUGUUACCCACGUUAUACUCAACAAGUUUAUUGGCUUUGAUUAUGUCGCAUUGUUAAGAGUUAAGUUGUGUGUUAAAUGUCGACAUUAUCCUGUUUAUCCUUAUCUACUCAUCGUCAUGCUGUCGAAUCAGCUAGCGAUGAUAAAUGUGUAUGGGGACCUCUUGUGUGGUAAUGUGCUUGAAUGUGAGCUUUGACUUUAGAUCCUUUGGUUCAUUGGUGGCAAAAAGAGUUUAUGGAUUAAAUCAUUACAAUUUGGUGUAAAUGAUGAUGCAGGUUGUUGAUGCCAUUUACCACUUGGGGUAUGAAAGCCUUUAAGAGGAGGAGAUACCCAUUAAACGAUUAUAUGGAAAUGGUUCAAGCGAUGCAGGGAUUCCUUACCUAAUAAAUGUCAUAUACCAUCAAUCUGGUGGAACAAUCCUAAUAUUGACAUUAAAGAUUUCCGGAGUAAUUAAAAAUGAGGAUUUGCCUGCAUCCUGGAAAAGACCCGAGAAGGACAAUUCAACAACUACCAUCUUCUUGUUGAAUACAAAGCCGGUUUCGAUAGAGGAUGACAAUUGCUUUAACACGUUCCUCAGUAAGAAUAGGAAAGAACCAUUCUUGGCAGGGUUAUUG